rnacentral:tRNA from 1 species
GCCGCGAUAGCUCAGCCUGGUAGAGCGUUGCCUUGGUAAGGCAAAGGUCCUGGGCCCAAAUCCCAGUCGCGGCU